UUUUCUUUAUUCUCUAACUAACUAUCUAUCAUCUAUCUAUCUAUCUAUUCCAGGAUAUUACCCUUGGCUUCUCGUCGCCCUCUCCUGGAUAAAACUGUGAAUAGCCAUGUACAUCCACGCUACCUGAAAGAAGACAGCUUUCUGAAUCCAACGAUACCAGUUAUGCGCACGUCGGACCUCCGCUUCAAAAGAUACGGCCAGACAUCCACGCUACCUGAAAGAAGACAGAUUUCUGAAUCCAACGAUACCACUUAUGUGCACGUCGGACCUCCGCUUCAAAAGAUACGGCCAG